GUAGUAGCAGAAGUAGUAGUAGUAGUAGUAGUAGUAAAAGCUGUUGUUAUGAAUAUUACAUAGAGUACGCGGUGUAUAUAAGUAAUAGUUCUCUUAAACAUUUUGAUUAAUUUGAUUAGAUUGUUUUGAAUAUAUAUGUCCUAUUGUCUCAGUUUAAGCCCAGUCUUUUAUUGCAAUAUUGUUGGAACUAUAAAAUUGAAAUUAAUCUGAGCAGUGCUCUGCGAAAUGGGGGUUUAAUGAAUAGGCAUAAAGUGUCGUCCCAAAUUGUAUUUCCUGGUAUCCUGCUUUUCCCUAGCACUUCUCUUACAGAAAACAGAUAUAAAUGCAAAACUAUUUUAAAAAAUGCUGAAAAUCCAAUCAAUUGAACUAAGGUAAUAGCAGCAUAUCCGGUCUUUAACAUAUACAUCUUAAAGAACUACCAAUAAAAAUGUUUACUGUACAAAAAAAUGCACAGACACAAACUACAUGUAUUUCAAUAUAAACGAUUUUUGUCAUUUUGGAGUCAUAAGGUAGCUAGGGAAAAGCAACUUGUUUUGUCUCUGCUAUUCACAAACAAUUUCCAUGGACCUCGUGAUUGCACAAGUAAAUGGUUUACAAUCGAUGUGAUGCAAUUUACUGUUUGUGAAACGUUGCAUGGUUUGUGAAAUGUUGUGUGAAUAGCAGACAGAACAAAAUUAAAAAUAAAAACAUCUGUAAAGAAGAAAUUUGUAUUUGUGCCAUCUGCUAAAAAAAAUAGAUAUCAGCAUACAAUCAAACUACACGGAAACAAUUAAGAUAAUGUGGAUUUUGCUAGAGGUUUUCUGAUUCAUUCUUUAUCCAUUUAUUGUAAUAGUAUUAAAAGCUGUCCCAGCCGGUGUGUUUGGUUAAUCUUUGGUGUUUUGUUGAGCGCAGUGUGUCAGUUUAGUUACCUCCCUUAAUAGAGUUCAACAUCUAUAACGUUUAGCAGAUACAUGCAUCAGACGAUUCAAUAGUACGUUGCGCAGAAAGAGAGGUCGGACGAAAGCUGGCCGGCAUGCAGACCUGACUUUGAGGUGUUAGGUCAAGGUGCUUACGCGAGGGGCACUAUUACUUCAUCGGUAGCUCCGGUACGAUUCCUUCGCUGUGUGGCGUCGUCCCAAAAGGACAAAAGUGGGAGGAGUGUUGUGCCGGUGCCCGGCCUACAAAACGCGCACAUACCUCGUGACUGGGAACCAGCGACAAAUCGAUAUAGUGCAUGCUGGGCAGCACGAGUUUGUACGGUCUCUUGUGCACGGGACGUUGAGGUGAGUAGAUGUGUUUAUGUGCCUAUGUCCCUAUGUGAGUAUUGUGUGUGAAAUAGUGAGCCUGCGUAUAGUUUAUAUUGUAUUAUAUGGUAUUGUAUUGUAUAUGUGUGUCGGUAACUGUGAGCCUGUAAUUGUGAACCUGUGCGUGUAACCCUGAGUACGUAAGUAGUUCCAGGGGGUUUAGCCUGUGUAUGUAAGCCAGUGUCUAGCUGUGAGCCUGUGCGUAUUGUAUUAUAUUGUAUUUUAUGUGCGUUCAACACGUAUUUACCUGGAAGGCCAUUCCCAGAAGAUAUAAGUGAGUCUGUGACUGUGUAUGUAAGCCGGUGACUGUGUGUUUAAGUACGUGUUUGCCUGGAAGUGUAUUCCCAGAAGUACAUGUAUAGUGCCAUUUCGUGACGUGGACGAGCCGACAAGUGUACCCGACGAGCCGACGAGUGCACCCGACGAGCCGACGAGUGUACCCGACGAGCCGACGCGUGAAGCCGACAAGUUCCCUCGAAGACGACGAGGACGAUUGGUGCCGUCCAGACGUGGAUUCCAGUCGAUGCCCAU